rnacentral:rRNA from 1 species
CCAAUAGCGUAUAUUAAAGUUGUUGCAGUUAAAAAGCUCGUAGUUGAAUUUCGGGAUCAGAUUGUCGGUCGUGCCUCGGUACGCACUGGCAUUAUUGGUUCCUACCUUCUGAAGAACCGCGAUGUCAUUAAUUUGGUGUCGUGGGGAAUCAGGACUGUUACUUUGAAAAAAUUAGAGUGUUUAAAGCAGGCGCACGCUUGAAUACAUUAGCAUUGAAUAAUGAAAUAGGAUGUUUGAUUCUAUUUUGUUGGUUUCUAGGAUCGACGUAAUGAUUAAUAGGGAUAGUUGGGGGCAUUAGUAUUCAAUUGUCAGAGGUGAAAUUCUUGGAUUUAUUGAAGACUAACUACUGCGAAAGCAUUUGCCAAGGAUGUUUUCAUUAAUCAAGAACGAAAGUUAGGGGAUCGAAGACGAUCAGAUACCGUCGUAGUCUUAACCAUAAACUAUGCCGACUAGGGAUCGGAUGAUGUUAAUUUUUUAAUGACUCAUUCGGCGCCUUACG